rnacentral:misc_RNA from 1 species
GAACGCACAUUGCGCCCCCUGGCAUUCCGGGGGGCAUGCCUGUUCGAGCGUCAUUAACACCACUCAAGCUCAGCUUGGUAUUGGGUCACGCCAGAAAUGGUGAACCUCAAACUCAGUGGCGGCACCGUUGGGUCCCGAGCGUAGUAAAUAUCUCGCUGAGGGUUCCCUCCGGUUGGCGACCAACAACCCAAUUUUCUAAGGUUGACCUCGGAUCAGGUAGGAAUACCCGCUGAACUUA